rnacentral:rRNA from 1 species
GCCUACGGGGGGCAGCAGUGGGGAAUAUUGCACAAUGGGGGAAACCAUGAUGCAGCAACGCCGCGUGAGUGAAGAAGUAUUUCGGUAUGUAAAGCUCUAUCAGCAGGGAAGAAGAAAGACGGUACCUGACCAAGAAGCCCCGGCUAACUACGUGCCAGCAGCCGCGGUAAUACGUAGGGGGCAAGCGUUAUCCGGAUUUACUGGGUGUGAAGGGAGCGUAGACGGCUGGGAAGGUUUGA